ACAGCCCAGGAUGUUUUGCUGGAGACUAAGGUAGACGUUUGUAUUGUUAAAAUUCCCUGAUCGAUACCACAGACAUAAGCCUUACUGAGACAGGAAGUGUUUACCCAGACAGGGAGAAGUAAGAAUAAUCCAGUAAAACUGCCAAACAAGUGAACUGCUUUAGAAAAUAUAUAAACUAUAUUAUAUUAUGGCUUUUCUGUGACACAAGCCCAGACUGAAGCAAUCUCCUAGAAAGAAACUUCAUAUAGAUCCAAAAGGUGAGACAAGGCUGUGUGCAUAGGUUGAUUGUAAGAGUAGUGUUGGACACAAGCAGGAAUGUCAGAGCUCCCUGGAUUGCUCUGGGUGAGACUGACCGAGGCUUGUCCAGGACCUCAGGUAGAGCAGGCCAGGACAUUCUCCUGGGUGACAUCUGUUGUGCUCUGUGUCCAGCAGCGUCCAGCACUGGCAACAGGCAGAGAGCAGCAGGCCAGGAACAUAAGAACAUCAGAAAGGGUACAGGUGCUGUCUACCUCCUCUCUGUCUGGAGUUCGACCCAAAGAAGACCCGUCAUUGCUUCCUCAGAGUCCAGAAAGGCCUGCGUUGGACCGGACAGAGACACUGGUUCUUGGUCCUCCUGGUCCUCAGCUAAAGUUAAUCCAAGAACUGAGCUACAGCUCAUUUUGA
rnacentral:lncRNA from 1 species